rnacentral:rRNA from 1 species
CCUACGGGAGGCUGCAGUGGGGAAUAUUGGACAAUGGGGGCAACCCUGAUCCAGCCGUGCCGCGUGUGUGAAGAAGGCCCUCGGGUUGUAAAGCACUUUCAGUGAGGAAGAACGCCUGGUGGUUAAUACCCAUCAGGAAAGACAUCACUCACAGAAGAAGCACCGGCUAACUCCGUGCCAGCAGCCGCGGUAAUACGGAGGGUGCGAGCGUUAAUCGGAAUUACUGGGCGUAAAGCGCGCGUAGGUGGCUUGAUAAGCCGGUUGUGAAAGCCCCGGGCUCAACCUGGGAACGGCAUCCGGAACUGUCAAGCUAGAGUGCAGGAGAGGAAGGUAGAAUUCCCGGUGUAGCGGUGAAAUGAGUAGAGAUCGGGAGGAAUACCAGUGGCGAAGGCGGCCUUCUGGACUGACACUGACACUGAGGUGCGAAAGCGUGGGUAGCAAACAGGAUUAGAUACCCCUGUAGUC